CCUUAAAACUACAAUAUUUUAAAAUUGCAUUCCCAAACAGGCCCUAAACUCUCAGUAUCCACGUUCCGGUUUGGGCUGCUGCUGCGCAGUUGCAUUUUCGCGAGCGUUCCUCGGAUGAUCGUGGUCACCUACUCACCUUUUUGCAACCACCGUCAUUUUUUUUUGACCCCGGUUCUUCUUUUCUCCUCUGCUUCCAGUCCCAGCACUCCAGCAUGAUCCGUUAGGCACUCGCUCUGCUGGACCGCAGGGAUGAGUCGAGGCAGCUACGGAUCGCUCGAGCAAGUGGAUCCUCCGUCCAGGGCUGGGAUGCCAAGGUACGAUGCCAAGCUCGCAGGACAAUAAAACAAUAUUUUAUCAACGGAAGGAGAAUCACAGUGUAGAUAAUGAGAGACAUGACUCCGAGGAGGUCAUCUGUGUUGUUGAUCCCGUUUGUGAAGGUGCUGGAGAAAACAUAGAGCGGAGAAGUCCCCAUGUCUCCGUAGACCACACCUAUGCUCUGGAAUGCUAGGUGCAGUGUGGUCGCCCAGCCAACCUUCAUUACCAAAGUGCAUACUCUGAAUCAGAUUACAUUUGCCUCGAAAAGAAAGCAAGAAAGAAAGCAGACAAUAUGCUUUUAGGCACACAACCCUUAGAUGAUGAAGCAGCUAGCUGAUAUGCUUAGUCUCUUCAGUAAGGCAAGGACGAACACGACAGUGCAGCAGUUACUUAAGAUUUCAGCAGAACCAUAGAAACACUUUACGAGAUGAAAAAAAGAACACAUACAAGAAGAAAAAAAAACUCAACCACAUAUGGAUACUCCCAUUAGACUUUGUUCUAAGAAGGCAACAGGGGUUUCAUGGACCCUGGAGUUCAAGGGUCGAGAAUCUUUCGUGCAACACGUUACACACGGCUCUAAGGCAAAAGGAGGAUCAUUAUCUGAUUGGAUAAGAGUAGUCGGAGAACUAACAUAUACCUUGGCUGCAUGCGUCGAUCCACCAGCAGGGAACAUUCCAGCCUCCAUGUGCAGUGAAUCAUAUCUCUGUAGCCUCUUGGGCGGCAUUUUCUCCGACGCAUCAUCAGCAUCACCGUGAGCAGCUCCGUUGCUGCUUGUGUGGUGAGGUUCAGCCAUGCUAGACUAGAAGUGCAUGCAUGUUGGCGGAGGCCAGACGCUGUUGCUGUCGUUCGCUUCACUUGCCGAGGUCUUCGUUCAACGCCGCAGCCGUGAAACGCUUGUGAUUUUCUUUACACAAGCCGGGAAGGUGGCUACGUGCGUGGUGGGAGGGCGUGGUGACUUUUCUUCAUCCGCAGUGGCUGUCACUGGAUUCCGUCGCGACUGCAAAACACAAACGGUUGUUUUCAGUGAGGACCAUGUAGAUGCAGCGAAUGCAGAGCUUUGGGCUACAAGUCUAUGGUGUGACCGUGUGAUGAACUGAUGGUAAAGAGCAGGAUCCGUGCAGAGAAAAGUCUUCGUGAUAAUGGCUUCUAGCCUUCUGGAAUAUUUACCACCUGCGGCCAAGCGUGUGAAAAUUGCUCGGAAAGAUUGGCAAGCUGAAUGACCGAAGGGGAUAAGAUCAUUGACCGUGUGCGCAAGUCUGGUUGCUCUCUCAGGUGUCCCUAUCAGGGCUUAGAAAGGACGUGUUUGGACUUGGACGAACUCAAGGAGAACUACAUAAUGACGAUUUAGUGACGGGGUUUUUUUAAGAAGGGUUUAGUGAUGACUUGUUACAUGCAGCUUUCGGCUCCAGGACUUGGGUUUGGUAAGCUGUUUCUCUGUUAAGUCUGCUAUUGGGGGUACAGAUCCAAUGCACCGAAUGAUCAACAGAACCAUAAACGUCGGGCUGGUUUGGUAACUUAGCCAGACCUGUGGGCAGCCCAUCCCCUGAGGCGUUUUAUUGGGCCUCACCUUUUUUUCCCCCAGAUUAUUUUGGCGUCGGUUUUCAUACGCCAACAUAAAUGGAGCGUCAAUUCCAGCAUUUGUUUCA